GAUGAACGCUAGCGAUAGGCUUAACACAUGCCAGUCGAGGGGCAGCACAAGGUAGCUUGCUAUCUGGGUGGCGACCGGCGCACGGGUGCGUAACGCGUAUGCAACUUGCCCUAUACAGGAGGAUAACCCGUCGAAAGACGGACUAAUACUGCGUAUGCUCACAACUUGGCAUCAAGUGGUGAGGAAAGAAAUUCGGUAUAGGAUAGGCAUGCGUCCCAUUAGCUUGUUGGUGAGGUAACGGCUCACCAAGGCAACGAUGGGUAGGGGAACUGAGAGGUGUGUCCCCCACACUGGGACUGGGACACGGACCAGACUGCUACGGGAGGCAGCAGUGAGGGAGAUAGGUGAAGGGACGCGAGCCUGAACCAGCCAAGUCGCGUGAAGGAUGACUGUCUUAGGGAUGGUAAACUUCUUGUAGACGGGAAUAACAAGAGGCACGGGUGACUCCCUGCAGGUACCGUAUGAAUAAGCAUCGGCUAACUCCGUG
rnacentral:rRNA from 1 species